GCUUCCAUUGUCCACGAACACUAUCAUACUUGAACAUGUACGUCUAUAUGUAGAAAAUACCCGUAUAUUCACAUUAGGUAUAUAAAAAUUAAUAUCACGAAAGACUAAUUCAUCAGGUCAGACAAUCAAUCAGACGAUAUAAAUUCCUUUAAUUUUAAUCCAUCAAAUUUUUAUAAUGUACAUGUGCAUGUAGGUUCACAUUUCAAAUGCAACAUAUAUACAAACGUGAAAUAAAAGAAAUUAAAAAAAAAAUCGUAUCAUUACAACCCCCCCUCCCCCCCUAAUCAGUUGUAGUGAAAAGAUCAUUAAAAGCGACAAGCGCAACAUCGUCUCUUUUCAAUGUAAUUAGGGAUGGCAAUGGACAAUUGCGAAUUUGUCAUCAUCAAAUCUGUACUUAUAAAAAAUUUAAAUUAAAUUAUAUAAUUCAAACUAUAAAUAUAUAAUAAUAGUCUAAAAAUCCACAAACAAUAUUCAACUCUAGAUUUUAUUAAUGUAAAUAAGAAAUUAAAAUUUGAGCAUUAAAAAAAUGUAUAAAAAAUAUUAAUCUAACACUAAAUAUUUUCAUUGCAGGUGAAUCAUCAUCACUAAUAUCAAUGUCUUCCUUCAUCUUUCAAUCAAUACACAAGUAUUAUUAAUAAUAUUAACAAGUAGAUUUUAUACAAUUAUCGUUAAGGCAAAAUAAACAAAAUCAAUUAAAGUAAAAUAAAAAUAUUAGUAAUAAAAAUUAUAAAAUUUCUACUUAUUAAAAGCUUAUUGUAUAUAUGUUGCCGCAAGAUAAAUUAGGUUUAGGAAUUAGAAACUUUAACUUAAAUAUAUUUAUGAUUAAAAAUUUUUUAUGUGAUUUUUCUAAUAAAAAUAAAAAUAUAAUAACUAAAAUAAAGAACGCGGGUUGGUGGAUACCAUCGCUGGUACCCAAGGAUUUUUGCUCAAUACCAACCUCACUCACAACCCAAGUGGAUUUAAGUUUAAAAUAUAAAACUCGCCCACAACCCGCAAAAUUAUCCUCAAUGGGUGGGUUUUUACGGGUGGGUUUGUGGGUUGGUAGGUAAUUUUACCAUGGCUAAGUGCAACUAUCGCCACCAAACGACGGAUUCUUCCAAAUCCUUCUCAACAAUAAGUUAAUUAUAUCAACUCAAACAAAAAUAAUAAUAAAAAGAAUUCAUUAAAGAGAAAGAAAUUAAUAAAAAUUAUAUAUACCGCUGAUUUCGAUCUUGAUCUUCUUGCCCAUAGUCUCUAAAAAUGAUGAAAGACUUGUACAGACUUAGGCCCGUUUAGGAUUGAGGUUCAAAUUCAAUAAACUGCUUAUUUAAUAAUUUUUGAGAGAGAUAAUGUUUGGAAAAUUUUGUAAAAACAACUUAUUUUAUAAUUUUUUCUAUUUUAACAACAACUUUUAAAAGCAUGUGGGGAGGUGCUUUUUAUAAGCAGCUUAUUAAAUAAGUCACUAUAUUUUUUUAAAGUUCCUGUUAUAACCUUAGCAUUUUACAAAAAGACAAUUAUAUCUUAUUUUUCCAUAAACCCUAAUAUAAAACCAUUAAAUAUCAUAUUACCGCCACAAUUAAAUUACCACUACAACUAUUGUAUGUUCUCUACACUAUUAAUUUAAUGUGAAUGUAAUGCAUAUUACAUUUUAUUUUAUUUGGAUUAUGUAUAAGUAUGAAUUUUUAUCAUAUUUAUGUAACAGAUUAUGAAGCUCAUUAAAUUUUAUUUAAUUGAGUUUUUUUUCACAUUAUGUAAUUUUAUGUACUUAAAGGAUAAAAGAAAAAAAAAGGCAUGUUUAAACAAUUUAUUAAACAUACUUUAGAAAUAAAAGAUAAUUUAAAUUUAUAUGUAUUUUGAUCAUUAUAUAAUAAAACAAUAUUUUCUCUAUAAAAUUUAUCAAAUGCAUAUACUCUACUUUUUAAAUUCACAGCAAUUAUGGCAAUAAAAUUUAUUAAAUAUUAAGUUACUUUUUUAAUCAGCGACUUAUUUUAUUUGUAUAGUAAAAAUAAUUUAUUUAAUUAGUAAUCACAAUCCCAAACUCGCCCUUAGGACGAGAUUUUAAGUAUACUAAUGUAAAAAGUGAAAUUAAAUUUAAUGGAGAAGAGAGUGGAGGGCGUAAAAUGGGUACGUGGCAGAUUUGUUGAGAUUUAAUGAUGUGGGGACCCGUAACUCUGCGAUGAAAAUGGUGAUUGGUGAUGAUGUUUUCAAUUUUUAUAUGGAAAUUAAAUAAAAAUUAUAUCUGCUGUACCGUACAUCCGCCUUGGCCGUACAGCAGAUUUGUAUAAAUAAAUGGAAAACAGCCUUGCGUUCAGUUGGUUAUUAUGAUAUUCAGUUAAACCAUUUUCAUUUGGCUGAUCGUGUUUUGUACUAUAAUUGAUGUAUUCCCUGCCUUUAAGGUCCAUGUACAAGUCAGCUGUUUUCCCUUUUCAAUAUGGAUAUUGGAGCUAGCAUCUGCUGUACCGUACAUCCGCCUUGGCCGUACAGCAGGAAUAAGAUGUUAUUAAAUUGAUUGGACAGUUGAGAUAUCAAUUUAAUUAAUGAUGUGGUACAAAGGAUUGUGCAGUAAAGAAAUCAAUGUGGCUUGGGACGAAUUAUUAUUCGAGCAUACAAUUAUGGAAGUCCGUUCCAAUCUUUUAGUGGAGUAGAUUUGGAAUUAAAUAUUUGGGCUAGUUUAAUUACAGGCCUAAUUAUUGUAGCCACUAUUGUAUGUUCCCAAAUGAUCCCCGGGUUAGCUCAUUUAAUUGACUGCACCACUACUGGACUAAUAAGUAAGAUAACUAGCUGUUUGGGUCAAAAGCCUAAAUAUAUCAUUUAGUGGGAGGCUCCAUUUAAUUAGCUUUUGUGUAAGGGGCCUUAUGUUAUUUUACAAGGUGGGUCUCCUAUUGAAAAAGAAAAUAACGUGAGUUUUAUUUAGGGUAUUAUUUGGAGCCUAGGGUUUUCACUAAAGGGUGAUAUAAAAGGCUUAUUUUUCCCAAAAGAAAAAAGAAGAAGCCACUUUAUACAAAUCGGAGAAUAAGAUUUUUCUCUCUAUUGUUGAGAGAAAAAUUUUCUCGUGCUAGUUGCUUUGGUAGUGAUAAAGGCGCCCACACGUCAAGUGCAGAUCGAACCUGAGUCAUAACCUGGAAGAUCAUUGGAGACAGUUCGUGAUCUAACAAGCGUGGUGGUGACGGAUCGUGAUCUAACAGGAGUGGUGGUGGCGGAUCGUGAUCUAGGAGCCUAAAUCACUUCAGCGGAAAAAGCAAACUCAGAUUUACAAGGUACGAUUUCUAGAAUACGAAUUCUUAUAUAUUAUAUGAGAGCGAUCUUCAAAAGGUUUUAUAAAAAUUUAAAAACCUGAUUUUUCCCCAACAAAAAUAGUCCCAAAAAUUUUAUAUAACGCAUCCCUAAAUACACCAAAUUAUUAUUCGAAUUUUUACUAGAACUUUGUUGACUAUAAGCGUAAAGCACACUCAUGACUAGAGAAACCACAGUAAAACAGUCGUAAUUUGUAUAAAUGUAAGUUAUGUAUAACUUUGAAAUUCAACCUUGACCUUCUCCCACAACAAGAGUGGCCAACCAAAUGAGCAGAAUAUAUCGAAAUUUUGUGGAAUUGAUAUAGAAUUGAACUGCAUUGAAUUGAAUAUUAGCAAGUUAUAAUUUAAAAACUAGUUAAUCAACUGUAUAUGGGAUUAUCCCAAAGAGUUAGUCCAUUGAUUUGACUUGUAACAGUGGAAGCAAGAGGUGGAAGAAAAGGAUAUGAAAAUUUUAUAUUUAAUCGAAUGAGUAAAAUUUCAAGGAUAAUUUUAUUCUUUUUAAAUAAGAUUUAAGCAAAUAUAUAUAAUAAAAAAGUGGUAUAAGAGCAUCACCAAAAGACUUUUCAAAUAAGAUUUUAUUACUUAUUUGAAGAGCCACAUCAAUAUUUAAAGCUCCAAAAGACACUCCAAUUAAGAUUCUUCAAAUAAAAAUUGAUUCUCUCUCUUCAAAUUUAGAGAGUUAAUUUCUCCCUCUUUAAUUUAUAUUUUAUUACUUUUCAUUGAAGAAAGAGAGAUAAGUGCUUUAAUUGCUAUUGACGUUUCCUUUAAAAAACUAAUUAUAUGAUUAAAAUAAUAUUAACUUAUUUUUAUUUGAAGAGUCUUUUGGAGAAUAUCAUAUUUUUUCACCCUUCUAUUUACCACAUAGGUAAGCAAAUAUGUAUUUGAAGAAUAAAAUUUAUAGAGACUUUUGGAGAUGCUCUUACAAUACCUCUAUUGAAGGCAAGACUCGAUGACAUGGUGAAAUAAUUAUUAGUAAGUACCAAUCCCACCAAGACCAUAAUGAGAGUUGGUGGUGAGUUAUAUCACUUAUUCUAACACACAUAAAUAUAUAGUCUUGUUAUCAAAUAAGUUUUUGUGGUAGCCAUAAGUGGUCUCAAAUGAAUUUAAUUAAGUUUAUGUCUUAAAAACAAAUAUAGCUUUGUAAACCGCUCUUCAAUUAAGUCUAUGCCUUAAAAGAAAAAUGCCAUCUGUUUGUUAAACGUCAAGUCCGAAAUUUUAUUAAUUUUAGUUUUUUUUUUAAUUAUGUUUGAUUUUUAAAUAUUUACAUCUAAAUAGAAUACGUGAACUUUUAUAAGUUUUAUCUGAAUGAAAAGUAAAUAUUAUAUUUCAAAACUAUCUUUAUUAAAUAUAAUUAUUUCCUGAACCAUAAAAUCUAAUUUUUCUAUCUCUCUUUAUUUUGAUUUACAAGGAUAUAAAUGUCAAAUAAUCAUAUCUAAGAUAUUUUUUAUUCGUAAAAAAUUAAGAUGCCACUUAUAUUGAAAUAUUAAAAAAAAAAACAUAUCAUUUGGAUAAUUGUAUUAUGACUUUAAAAAAAUCUAGACCCUUUCAAAUUGCAGACCCAUAAAGAAAAAAAUAAAUGCCACCUUAGUGUUACCAAUUAUUAUUUCUUAUUUUUUUAAUAUAGUAUCAUUUUUCCAAUAAUAUUUAGAUACUAAGAGCUCAUUUGGAAAUACAUUUAGAAGGCUCAAAUUUUUUUAAAAAAAUCACUUUUGGCAAAUUACCCUAUCCUCUAGCAUGUUUUGGAAAAGUAGGAAAUGAGUUUAUUUUCAAAAAUCUGAUUUUUAAAUUAUAUUAUAUUUAAUAAAAUUUAUGCACACACUUAUGAUAAAAAUCUAAAAUUAUCCUUAUUAAUUAGGAAAAUUCAUUAAAAUUGAAGAGAUUAUUAUUAUUGGCAAUUACAUUGAGACGACAAGAUAAAAGUCAAAAUCAUAAGAAACUAUUUAUUUUAGUUAUCAGCUCUUAUAUACGCAAUAAAAAAUAUUUUACAUAAGUGUUUAUAAAUAGAUAAAUAAAAUUUAUUUGAUAUCAAGUCUAUUUCAGUUAUUUAUAUUUCUUAUAGCAAUUUAAUAGUAAGAUUUACUAAAUAUAUAUGAUUGCUUUCAAAACCCAUAAUACUUUUAAAAAUAAAUACUACCAAACGUUUAAUUGAUUCUCUUCAUAAUUGCAUAAUUAACAGCAAUUAUUUCAAAAAUUAUAGCAUUAUCAAACUGGCCCUAAGAUGAUUGUAUUUUUUUUUUGAAAAAAUAUAAUUCCUUCGUAAGAUCUUAAAUUUCUUCAAUCUCUAGUGAUGUGAUUAAAGUAUGAACUUAUAAAUACCCACUGAAUUCUCUAAUACAAGAAAAAUGAUAUUUGUAUCCUCCAAGUUUGUCAUAAUAUAAAGGUCAUUACACUUCAUGAAUAGAUACAUAAAUUCCUUUUUCAACUUGAAUCAUCAAGAUCAACUCCAUAUGUGAUUCCAUUAUUGCUUCUCUCACGACGUAGAUCUCGUCAUUGCAUAUAUGACAAGCAAAAGGAAAAAAGAAGAAGAUUAUGACUAAAUGUUUGAUAUCCUUAAACAAAAGAAACUAGGUUUAUAUAUAAUAAGACGUUUAUACUUUUCAAAUCUCUUAUUAAUAAGAAAUCAAUAAAAAAUAAUAACUUUUUGCAUUUGUGAUAAAAAGAAGGUAUUUUGUAAUACCUUUUUUCACGUAAGAACAUACAAAUAUGGACUCGACUAGCUUACAGAUUCUGUAAGCUACAGACUGCAGAGCAUCAGCCGUUGGAUGUGGUUGGAUGUGGAGUGAGAGAUUAAACCAUAGAAAAUGGGACGGUGGGAUGACGGGAGAUGUUAGGUACAGAAUCUGUACCAUAGGCAGGUUACACACACAAUUCCUGUACGUUGCUUCUGAUUUGGUACCAGCUCCCCUCGAACCCGUGAUUGAUGACGUGCUGAACAUAUUGGCACCAAGCCAACAAGAUCACGCUGGGAGCUGGUGAUGAAUUGUAUCACAUUUACCUUUUGUUCCGUAAAAUUUUUUAUAUUUUGACUUGCAAAGUUUUGAAUUAAGAAUAAAUGAUGAAAUGAAACCAAUGCUUCUGACACUAAUUUUUCACAUAUUAUUUGAAAAAGAAUUAAAAUAAGACGUUGUAUUUAAAACAAGUCAUUUUUAAAUAAUAAUAUUAUACUUAUUCAAUUAGGGUAUAUUAUUUCGUAUUCUAAUUGAUGCAUCACUAAUAAAAUUUUACUAUUUGAAUUAAAUAAGAUAUGACUUAACUAUCAUUUAAAUGGGUCCAGCUAUGUUGCAACAGUGGUAUGGUAUUACAGUUGCAACCAGCCAUUGGAUGUAUAGUUGUACAGUUGUAUUAGCAAGAUCCAAUGGCUAAAAGCAACAGUGGUACCGUACCAUUAUUGCAACAUAGUUUUGCCCCAUUUAAAUAAAUCAAAUAGUGAUAUAUCAUUUCUUACAUUGACUAAAAUAUAAACUAAAUAUCUUAACUAAUCAUACAUAACAUUAUUAAUUUUUGAAUGCAUCAUUAAUUAAGUUGUAAAUGAUGAAGAUGGAUCAUAAUGGAGUUGAACUAAAUUUAGCUACCAACCUUCUCGAACCUAAGACCAAGUUAAACGGUUCUUGAAGCACCAUACCACCGAGUUAUGAGAAGUUUGGUCAAAACAACAGUGAACAACAGUUAAAGCAACAAGUGUUUGAUGGAAGUAUAAAAGCGUUUGAUGAAAUGCCUCAAUGAAGAGUCUCUUGGCGAGUAUUUGAAUUCAGGAACUAAAUAGUCACUAGCGAGCAUUCAAGAAGAUAGUCCCUGAUACUUGUAGAAGGAUGAAAUGUCUUAAGAUUUUAAGAAGAUCAAUGGUCAAGACUGGAAUCAAAGAAUUAAGGGGGUCUGAAUUGAACAGUGAAUAAAACAGAAGUGCAUAACGAACCUUAUUACCUUUGUAUUAUCAUUUACCCUUAAAUCUCAGCCCUAGGAUUAACAGCAAGGGAUGAAGUACGAAUUCAAUACAUGCAUUAUUCACCAGCUGUAAAUGUAGUACAAGGCCAUUGUAUAUAUAAAAUUGAGCAGUGGAAUAUCAAUAAUACAAGCUCGUUCUUUCAAAUUUCUGGCAAUAGGCAUAUAUUUCAGUAAAUUUUACACUAUACACAUUAUACAUUGGAAAAAAAUCCAUAGUGCUUUUAAAAAUAAAUAUUACCAAACGUUUAAUUGAUUCUCUUCGCAAUUGUAUAAUUAACAACAAUUAUUUUAAAAGUUAUAGUAUUAUCAAACUAACCCUAAGAUGAUUGUAUUUUUUUUUUUUUUGAAAAAAAUAUAAUUCCUUGUAAGAUCUCAAAUUUCUUCAAUCUCUAGUGAUGUGAUUAAAGUAUGAACUUAUAAAUACCCAUUGAAAUUCUCUAAUACAGGAAAACGAUGUUUGUAUCUUUUAAGUUUGUCAUAAUAUAAAGGUCACUACACUUUAUCAAUAGAUACAUAAAUUCUUUUUUCAAUUUGAAUCAUCAAGAUCAACUCCGAAUGUGUGGUUCCAUUAUUGCUUCUCUCAUGACGUUGAUCUCAUCAUUGCAUAUAUGACAAUCAAAAGGUAAAAAAAAAAAAAAAAAGAUUAUGACUGAAUGUUUGAUAUCCUUAAACAAAAGAAACUAGGUUUAUAUAUAAUAAGACGCUUAUACUUUUCAAAUCUCUUAUUAAUAAGAAAUCAAUAAAAAAUAAUAAUAACUUUUUUGCAUUUGUGAUAAAAAGAAGGUAUUUUGUAAUACCUUUUUUCAUGUAAGAACAUACAUAUAUAUAUAGGACUUGACUAGCUUACAGAAUCUGUACGUAAGCUACAGACUGCAGCAUCAGCCGUUGGAUGUGGAGUGAGAAACUAAACAAUAGAAGAUCGGAUGGUGGGAUGACGGGAGAUGUUUGUUACAGAAUCUGUAACAUAGACAGGUCCGUAGAUAUGUACACACACACACAAUUCCUGUACGUUGCUUCCGACUUGGUACCAGCUCCCCUCGAACCCGUGAUUGAUGACGUGCUGAACAUAUUGGCCCCAAGCCAACAAGAUCACACUGGGAGCUGGUGAUGAAUUGUAUCACAUUUACCUUUUGUUCCGCAAAAUUUUUUAUAUUUUGACUUACAAAGUUUUGAAUUAAGAAUAAAUGAUGAAAUGAAACCAAUGCUUCUGACACUAAUUUUUCACAUAUUAUUUGAAAAAUAAUUAAAAUAAGAUGUUGUAUUUAAAAUAAGUCAUUUUUAAAUAAGAUGCCACCUAUAUUGAGAUAUUAAAAAAAAAUUAUUUGGAUACUUGUAUUUUAACUUUAAAAAAAUUUAGAUCCUUUUAAAUUGCAAACCCACAAAGAAAAAAAUAAAUGCCACCUUAAUGUUACCAAUUAUUAUUAAUAUAAUAUCAUUUUUCCAAUAAUAUUUAGAUACAAAGAGCUCAAUUGGAAUUACAUUUAGAAGGCUCAAUUUUUUUUUUAAAAAUCACUUUUGGCAAAUCACCCUAUCCUAUAACAUGUUUUGAAAAAGUAGGAAAUGAGAUUAUUUUCAAAAAUCUGAUUUUUAAAUUAGGUUUAUACUUAAUAAAAUUUAUAUACACACACUUAUGAUAAAAAUAUAAAAUUAUCCUUAUCAAUUAGGAAAUAUCAUUAAAAUUGAAGAGAUUAUUAUUAUUGACAAUUGCAUUGAGAUGACAAGAUAAAAAUCAAAAUCAUAAGAAAAUAUUUAUUUUAGUUAUCAAUUCUUAUAUACACAAUAAAAAAUAUUUUACAUACGUGUUUAUAAAUCGAUAAAUAAAAUUUAUUUGAUAUCAAGUCUAUUUCAGUUAUUUAUAUUUUACAGCAGUUUAAUAGUAAGAUUUACUAAACAUAUAUAAUUACUUUCAAAACCCAUAGUGCUUUUAAAAAUAAAUAUUACCAAACGUUUAAUUGAUUCUCUUUACAAUUGCAUAAUUAACAACCAUUAUUUUAAAAGUUAUAGUAUUAUCAAACUGGCCCUAAGAUGAUUGUUUUUUUUUUUAAAAAAAAAAUAUAAUUCAUUGUAAGAUCUCAAAUUUCUUCAAUCUCUAGUAAUGUGAUUAAAGUAUGAACUUAUAAAUACCCACUGAAAUUCUCUAAUACAAGAAAAAUGAUAUUUGUAUCUUCUAAGUUUGUCAUAAUAUAAAGGUCAUUACACUUCAUGAAUAGAUACAUAAAUUCCUUUUUCAACUUGAAUCAUCAAGAUCAACUCCAUAUGUGAUUCCAUUAUUGCUUUUCUCAUGACGUAGAUCUCGUCAUUGCAUAUAUGACAAGCAAAAGGAAAAAAAAGAAAACAAGAUUAUGACUGAAUGUUUGAUAUCCUUAAACAAAAAAAACUAGGUUUAUAUAUAAUAAGACGUUUAUACUUUUCAAAUCUCUUAUUAAUAAGAAAUCAAUAAAAAUAAUAAUAACUUUUUUGCAUUUGUGAUAAAAAGAAGGUAUUUUGUAAUACCUUUUUUCAUGUAAGCUACGGACUGCAGCAUCAGCCGUUGGAUGUGGAGUGAGAAACUAAACAAUAGAAGAUCGGAUGGUGGGAUGACGGGAGAUGUUUGUUACAGAAUCUGUACCAUAGACAGGUCCAUAUAUACACACACACACAAUUCCCGUACGUUGCUUCCGACUUGGUACCAGCUCCCCUCGAACCCGUGAUUGAUGACGUGCUGAACACAUUCGCACCAAACCAACAAGUUCAUCCUGGGAGCCGGUA
rnacentral:lncRNA from 1 species